rnacentral:rRNA from 1 species
UGCAAGUCGAACGGAACAUUAUGAGUAGCAAUACAAGUAAUGUUUAGUGGCGAACGGGUGCGUAACACGUGGAUACAUUCCGGGAAGCGGGGGAUAGCCCAGGGAAACUUGGAUUAAUACCGCAUGUGAUCGAGAGAUCAAAGACGGGGACCGCAAGGCCUGUCACUUCCCGAUUGGUCCGCGGCCUAUCAGCUAGUUGGCGGGGUAAAAGCCACCAAGGCGACGACGGGUAGCUGGUCUGAGAGGACGACCAGCCACACUGGAACUGAGACACGGUCCAGACACCUACGGGUGGCAGCAGUCGAGAAUCUUUCACAAUGGGGGCAACCCUGAUGGAGCGACGCCGCGUGGAGGAUAAGGUCUUCGGAUUGUAAACUCCUGUCAUGUGUGAACAAGGUUGCGGGGCUAAUACCUUUGCAAAUUGAUGGUAACACAAGAGGAAGAGACGGCU